AAAUUGAAGAGUUUGAUCAUGGCUCAGAUUGAACGCUGGCGGCAGGCCUAACACAUGCAAGUCGAACGGUAACAGGAAACAGCUUGCUGUUUCGCUGACGAGUGGCGGACGGGUGAGUAAUGUCUGGGAAACUGCCUGAUGGAGGGGGAUAACUACUGGAAACGGUAGCUAAUACCGCAUAACGUCGCAAGACCAAAGAGGGGGACCUUCGGGCCUCUUGCCAUCGGAUGUGCCCAGAUGGGAUUAGCUUGUUGGUGGGGUAACGGCUCACCAAGGCGACGAUCCCUAGCUGGUCUGAGAGGAUGACCAGCCACACUGGAACUGAGACACGGUCCAGACUCCUACGGGAGGCAGCAGUGGGGAAUAUUGCACAAUGGGCGCAAGCCUGAUGCAGCCAUGCCGCGUGUAUGAAGAAGGCCUUCGGGUUGUAAAGUACUUUCAGCGGGGAGGAAGGGAGUAAAGUUAAUAGCUUUGCUCAUUGACGUUACCCGCAGAAGAAGCACCGGCUAACUCCGUGCCAGCAGCCGCGGUAAUACGGAGGGUGCAAGCGUUAAUCGGAAUUACUGGGCGUAAAGCGCACGCAGGCGGUUUGUUAAGUCAGAUGUGAAAUCCCCGGGCUCAACCUGGGAACUGCAUCUGAUACUGGCAAGCUUGAGUCUCGUAGAGGGGGGUAGAAUUCCAGGUGUAGCGGUGAAAUGCGUAGAGAUCUGGAGGAAUACCGGUGGCGAAGGCGGCCCCCUGGACGAAGACUGACGCUCAGGUGCGAAAGCGUGGGGAGCAAACAGGAUUAGAUACCCUGGUAGUCCACGCCGUAAACGAUGUCGACUUGGAGGUUGUGCCCUUGAGGCGUGGCUUCCGGAGCUAACGCGUUAAGUCGACCGCCUGGGGAGUACGGCCGCAAGGUUAAAACUCAAAUGAAUUGACGGGGGCCCGCACAAGCGGUGGAGCAUGUGGUUUAAUUCGAUGCAACGCGAAGAACCUUACCUGGUCUUGACAUCCACAGAACUUUCCAGAGAUGGAUUGGUGCCUUCGGGAACUGUGAGACAGGUGCUGCAUGGCUGUCGUCAGCUCGUGUUGUGAAAUGUUGGGUUAAGUCCCGCAACGAGCGCAACCCUUAUCCUUUGUUGCCAGCGGUCCGGCCGGGAACUCAAAGGAGACUGCCAGUGAUAAACUGGAGGAAGGUGGGGAUGACGUCAAGUCAUCAUGGCCCUUACGACCAGGGCUACACACGUGCUACAAUGGCGCAUACAAAGAGAAGCGACCUCGCGAGAGCAAGCGGACCUCAUAAAGUGCGUCGUAGUCCGGAUUGGAGUCUGCAACUCGACUCCAUGAAGUCGGAAUCGCUAGUAAUCGUGGAUCAGAAUGCCACGGUGAAUACGUUCCCGGGCCUUGUACACACCGCCCGUCACACCAUGGGAGUGGGUUGCAAAAGAAGUAGGUAGCUUAACCUUCGGGAGGGCGCUUACCACUUUGUGAUUCAUGACUGGGGUGAAGUCGUAACAAGGUAACCGUAGGGGAACCUGCGGUUGGAUCACCUCCUUA
rnacentral:rRNA from 1 species